CUACACCACAACACCCUGUGGAUUGCAGCCCUGGAGGAUGGAGCAAGCACAGUACUCCACGGUACCAGAGAAGUACUACACGGCACAAUGUGGAGGACUGCUACAUAUGUAUUUGGCAAGAUGGCCAAGGUUUGGGGAAG